CCGACAUGCAGUGACCAGCAGUCUGAAUGUCCCAAACCUGUUCAGGAGCCCUGAGACUGGGUGCAGGCUCACAGAUCCUCCAUGUUUAUGAAGAGAAAAAAGUUAUGAAGAGGCUGAUUAGCCAAAGCCUCAGCCCUGGGCUCCUGGUGAGUGCUGGACAGAACCUUGCUUUGCUUCUGCAUCUAUGUUUGUGCCACGUCGCUCAGGAUCUUAGACUUUCUUCCGGAGACCAGGAGCUCAUCUGCACCCACAACGAGUGAUGGCAAAUGGUCAGAGGAAAAAGGGAGCCAGAACUAGGAAGACUUAGGAGGUGGCCCCACAGCAGGGAGGAGGGCACAUUUCUCCUCCUCAUCAACAACUGCAAGCCCCUGGGGCUUGGCAUCUUGCCAAGCUGUUGCACAUCAUUUUGUGAAUCCUCCCAAUGGCCUGCGAGCCAGGAACAAUGAAUUUUAUGAACCCCUCCCCCCUACUUAAAAGUUGGGUACAUUGAGACUCAAGAGGAAAGGACUUUCCUAAGGAAGAGUACUUCCAUGUGCACAGCAGACAGCUGAUGUCUCAGAGGCUUGACGCUGCAGCCGUUGGUGGGCGCUAGCCUGAAUUAAUGAAGUGGGGCUUCACCAACACCUGGGUAUGUGCGGAAACUUGGGAUGGGCUCGUGUACACUUAACGAAGAGAAAUCCUUGCACCUGGUUUAAGAAGUGGAGAAGCUGAGGUAAUGGGUGCAUGGCUGGCUGGCCUGGAAGUACAGGGCUCUCAGGUACCUGUGGGCGGUCCCCACCCUUGGCCGUAAACAGGUGGCUUAUGGCCUCUGCAGUGCUGUCUGUGCAACUGAGUUCUUCAUCAUGAAGGUUACAGAUGAGCUUGUUCUCCACUCCGCAUUAACAUAAAUUCUGAAUUAGUAAUGCUGAAAUAAAUUCUCAUUGUGAAAUACGUGAGAGGGAGGUGGCUGGGCAGGCAGUUGGGAAAGCAGGGCGACUUUGGACAGGAGCACCCCUUGGCUUCAUUCCCUCUGUGACCCCCAGCCUCCUGCCAGCCAGGUUCUAGCUGAGGUUUGCCUGCUUUUCCUAGUGUGGCCCGUAAGUAUCUCCAGGCACACACAGCAGACUUUCCUUGUUGCCCGUGAUUGGCUUCUUCAUUUGAGUUUCUUUAAAAAGCAAACCUGGGUAGGAGCCCCUUAGCAUUCCAGCGGGCUGCCUGGGCUGAUGUGCUAGAGGAUGCGGGGCCGCUCAUGCGCCCAGAGCUUGAGAAAUCACCAGACAGGGCCAGGCUCCUGGUGUCGGCUGUCAGCAGCGCCGGCAGGAUAAUAAAUCAACCUGUCUCAUGUCAGGGGUCAGCUCGUUUGAUGUUUAAAGCAUUUGGGCCAAUCUAAUCAGGCCGAGCAUAGCCCAUCCGAGCAUGAGCCGCUGCCGCCAUGACGAGGCUGAGCUUGCUCUGAGCUGAUGUUCCCUGACCUGACAGCUUUGGGGCCUUGGGACCAGGCAGGUGCAAAGUACAGAGUCUGGAGUUGAGGGACAGGAGCCUCCUGCUAGCGUGUGUUAGCCGGGAGAAAACCUUGUAUUUGGCAAUGGCGGGGGCCAGUUACCAGCUGUUUAGCGUGAGGGAGACUUGGCUUUCAUUUGGUUCAUUUGGUAACCCUCUUAGUGCACUGAGGAGCAGGGCCGGCUCUGCAAUUUGCGGGGCCCCGUGCACAAUGAAAUUGUGGGGCCCCUUGUUCAAAAAGUGAGAGUGAAGUACCUUUGACGGCGGUGAAAGGUAAGCUUUUUCCUUUCUUCCACGGUCUUGCUCUUCACAAG
rnacentral:lncRNA from 10 species